GGUUAAGCGACUAAGCGUACACGGUGGAUGCCCUGGCAGUCAGAGGCGAUGAAGGGCGUGCUAAUCUGCGAUAAGCGCCGGUAAGGUGAUAUGAACCGUUAUAACCGGCGAUACCCGAAUGGGGAAACCCAGUGUGACUCGUCACACUAUCAUUAACUGAAUCCAUAGGUUAAUGAGGCGAACCGGGGGAACUGAAACAUCUAAGUACCCCGAGGAAAAGAAAUCAACCGAGAUUCCCCCAGUAGCGGCGAGCGAACGGGGAGGAGCCCAGAGCCUGAAUCAGCAUGUGUGUUAGUGGAAGCGUCUGGAAAGGCGCGCGAUACAGGGUGACAGCCCCGUACACAAAAGCGCAUGUGCUGUGAGCUCGAUGAGUAGGGCGGGACACGUGGUAUCCUGUCUGAAUAUGGGGGGACCAUCCUCCAAGGCUAAAUACUCCUGACUGACCGAUAGUGAACCAGUACCGUGAGGGAAAGGCGAAAAGAACCCCGGCGAGGGGAGUGAAAAAGAACCUGAAACCGUGUACGUACAAGCAGUGGGAGCCCCACCACUAAGCCAGUGGUGAACUCCACAUACGCAUCCUUUGCUGAGGAUACGGUUAACGGAGCGAAAGCGACGUUCAACCUCAAAAGAAGCAGAGGGGGCUUAGUGGUGGGGUGACUGCGUACCUUUUGUAUAAUGGGUCAGCGACUUAUAUUCUGUAGCAAGGUUAACCGUAUAGGGGAGCCGUAGGGAAACCGAGUCUUAACCGGGCGUUAAGUUGCAGGGUAUAGACCCGAAACCCGGUGAUCUAGCCAUGGGCAGGUUGAAGGUUGGGUAACACUAACUGGAGGACCGAACCGACUAAUGUUGAAAAAUUAGCGGAUGACCUGUGGCUGGGGGUGAAAGGCCAAUCAAACCGGGAGAUAGCUGGUUCUCCCCGAAAGCUAUUUAGGUAGCGCCUCGUGAAUUCAUCUCCGGGGGUAGAGCACUGUUUCGGCUAGGGGGCCAUCCCGGCUUACCAACCCGAUGCAAACUGCGAAUACCGGAGAAUGUUAUCACGGGAGACACACGGCGGGUGCUAACGUCCGUCGUGAAGAGGGAAACAACCCAGACCGCCAGCUAAGGUCCCAAAGUCAUGGUUAAGUGGGAAACGAUGUGGGAAGGCCCAGACAGCCAGGAUGUUGGCUUAGAAGCAGCCAUCAUUUAAAGAAAGCGUAAUAGCUCACUGGUCGAGUCGGCCUGCGCGGAAGAUGUAACGGGGCUAAACCAUGCACCGAAGCUGCGGCAGCGACGCUUAUGCGUUGUUGGGUAGGGGAGCGUUCUGUAAGCCUGCGAAGGUGGCCUGUGAGGGUUGCUGGAGGUAUCAGAAGUGCGAAUGCUGACAUAAGUAACGAUAAAGCGGGUGAAAAGCCCGCUCGCCGGAAGACCAAGGGUUCCUGUCCAACGUUAAUCGGGGCAGGGUGAGUCGACCCCUAAGGCGAGGCCGAAAGGCGUAGUCGAUGGGAAACAGGUUAAUAUUCCUGUACUUGGUGUUACUGCGAAGGGGGGACGGAGAAGGCUAUGUUGGCCGGGCGACGGUUGUCCCGGUUUAAGCGUGUAGGUGUGUGUUCCAGGUAAAUCCGGUUCACUUUAACACUGAGGCGUGAUGACGAGGCACUACGGUGCUGAAGCAACAAAUGCCCUGCUUCCAGGAAAAGCCUCUAAGCAUCAGGUAACAUCAAAUCGUACCCCAAACCGACACAGGUGGUCAGGUAGAGAAUACCAAGGCGCUUGAGAGAACUCGGGUGAAGGAACUAGGCAAAAUGGUGCCGUAACUUCGGGAGAAGGCACGCUGACACGUAGGUGAAGUGAUUUACUCAUGGAGCUGAAGUCAGUCGAAGAUACCAGCUGGCUGCAACUGUUUAUUAAAAACACAGCACUGUGCAAACACGAAAGUGGACGUAUACGGUGUGACGCCUGCCCGGUGCCGGAAGGUUAAUUGAUGGGGUCAGCGCAAGCGAAGCUCCUGAUCGAAGCCCCGGUAAACGGCGGCCGUAACUAUAACGGUCCUAAGGUAGCGAAAUUCCUUGUCGGGUAAGUUCCGACCUGCACGAAUGGCGUAAUGAUGGCCAGGCUGUCUCCACCCGAGACUCAGUGAAAUUGAACUCGCUGUGAAGAUGCAGUGUACCCGCGGCAAGACGGAAAGACCCCGUGAACCUUUACUAUAGCUUGACACUGAACAUUGAGCCUUGAUGUGUAGGAUAGGUGGGAGGCUUUGAAGUGUGGACGCCAGUCUGCAUGGAGCCGACCUUGAAAUACCACCCUUUAAUGUUUGAUGUUCUAACGUGGACCCGUAAUCCGGGUUGCGGACAGUGUCUGGUGGGUAGUUUGACUGGGGCGGUCUCCUCCUAAAGAGUAACGGAGGAGCACGAAGGUUGGCUAAUCCUGGUCGGACAUCAGGAGGUUAGUGCAAUGGCAUAAGCCAGCUUGACUGCGAGCGUGACGGCGCGAGCAGGUGCGAAAGCAGGUCAUAGUGAUCCGGUGGUUCUGAAUGGAAGGGCCAUCGCUCAACGGAUAAAAGGUACUCCGGGGAUAACAGGCUGAUACCGCCCAAGAGUUCAUAUCGACGGCGGUGUUUGGCACCUCGAUGUCGGCUCAUCACAUCCUGGGGCUGAAGUAGGUCCCAAGGGUAUGGCUGUUCGCCAUUUAAAGUGGUACGCGAGCUGGGUUUAGAACGUCGUGAGACAGUUCGGUCCCUAUCUGCCGUGGGCGCUGGAGAACUGAGGGGGGCUGCUCCUAGUACGAGAGGACCGGAGUGGACGCAUCACUGGUGUUCGGGUUGUCAUGCCAAUGGCACUGCCCGGUAGCUAAAUGCGGAAGAGAUAAGUGCUGAAAGCAUCUAAGCACGAAACUUGCCCCGAGAUGAGUUCUCCCUGAGACUUAGAGUCUCCUGAAGGAACGUUGAAGACGACGACGUUGAUAGGCCGGGUGUGUAAGCGCAGCGAUGCGUUGAGCUAACCGGUACUAAUGAACCGUGAGGCUUAACCUU
rnacentral:rRNA from 1 species